rnacentral:rRNA from 1 species
GAGUUUGAUCCUGGCUCAGGACGAACGCUGGCGGCGUGCUCAACACAUGCAAGUCAAGGGGGCCCGCAAGGGUAACCGGCGAACGGGUGCGUAACACGUGAGCAAUCUACCUCGAUGUGGGGGAUAGCCGGCCCAACGGCCGGGUAAUACCGCAUACGCUCCCUAGGCGGCAUCGCGUGGGGAGGAAGCAUUCGUGGCAUUGAGAGGAGCUCGCGGCCUAUCAGCUAGUUGGUGGGGUAACGGCCUACCAAGGCUUUGACGGGUAGCUGGUCUGAGAGGAUGGCCAGCCACAUUGGGACUGAGAUAC